ACGGGUGAGUAACGCGUGGGGAACCUACCUCUUUGUGGGGAAUAACGCUCCGAAAGGAGUGGUAAUACCGCAUGAGACCAAUGGCUGGAAUGUUGUUGGUGAAACCUGGGGACCGCAAGGCCUGGGGCAAGGAGAGGAUCCUGCGUCUGAUUAGCUAGUUGGCGGGGUAACGGCCCACCAAGGCGACGAUCAGUAGCCGGCCUGAGAGGGUGAUCGGCCACACUGGAACUGAGACACGGUCCAGACUCCUACGGGAGGCAGCAGUGGGGAAUUUUGCGCAAUGGGCGAAAGCCUGACGCAGCAACGCCGCGUGGGUGAUGAAGGUCUUCGGAUCGUAAAACCCUGUCGUCAGGGACGAAGGUCUGGGGGUGAAUAUCCCUUAGGCUUGACGGUACCUGGAGAGGAAGCCCCGGCUAACUCUGUGCCAGCAGCCGCGGUAAUACAGAGGGGGCAAGCGUUAUUCGGAAUUAUUGGGCGUAAAGGGCGCGUAGGCGGUUUUUUAAGUCAGAUGUGUAAUCCCCGAGCUCAACUUGGGAACUGCAUCUGAGACUGGAAGGCUAGAGUACUGGAGAGGGUGGUAGAAUUCCACGUGUAGCGGUGA
rnacentral:rRNA from 1 species